CUAGAACCCAGGAGGUGGAGGUUGCAGUGAGCUGAGAUCGCACCACUGCACUCCAGCUUGGGCAACAAGGCGAAACUCUGUCUCAAAAAAAAAAAGCAAAAAUCAGCUGGGCGUGACGGCGCACACCUGUAGUCCCAGCUACUCGGAGGCUGAGGCAGGAGAACUGCUUGAACUUGGGAGCCAAGAUGGUGCCACUAAGCUCCUGCCUGGGUGACACAUUUCUCCUCCUUUACCACCCCCCAGCCCCAGAGUUUCUGUGGCUGACAGUGUACGCUUCCAGAGCUGCUUCUGUUACAAAUAUAUCGCUGGCCUAUUUAUUUAAAAGAUCAUAAUGUACAACUUGUUCUCCACCUUUUUUUUAAGCCUAAAAUGGUUUUGCCAUGUUCCCAGGCAGUACGCAGAGGCUGCCCUCUUUAGCUGCUAAGAAGACUUCCCUGUGUCGGCAGGAACAAGUGUGCUCACCGCCCCC
rnacentral:lncRNA from 1 species